GUCCCACUACCUCCCGUCGCCCGUCACCUGAUUUCCCCCAUGGUAGUUUUCUAAUCGAGCGUAUGCGGCGGUUGGCGAUUGAGCGGCCGCCGGCGAGCGCAUGAGCGGCGGAUGGACUCGGUGGCCAUAGGAGCGCAGCUGCUGGGCUCUGCCACGACCGUGUCCUCGGCUGCGUCGUGGCCGGCGGCGAGCGGCGGAUGCGGGAUGCGCUGUGGGUGUCCUUCGCUCCGCUGUGUUCUGCCGACAAAUCGACGGCGACCGGCUGUAGGUGUGAUUGCGGCCGGCGGCGGGCGGUUGCAGGCAGGGUUGCUGCGAGCGGCUGCUGCUGGGGAUCUUAUCGGCUUGAGGCUUGGUGAGUGGCAGAUCCUCCUCUCCGCCUCCCACAGCAGCUCGGCCGUCUGUUCCUCCACGUUCCGCACGGCCGGCUAGCCGUCAACUUCGCCGCGCUACCAGGUCAUGCUGCAGCUGUCCUCGUCUCGUCCCCAUACCAUAACCAUACCACCAUGAUGGCAUAGGAGUGCAGAACCACCGUAAAGAUAGUCUGUCGACUGAAAACGGAAGCUUGAAAAUUUUGCGCUGCAGGUAUGAUGUGUUAUACUGUUAUUGGCCGAUUCACUGGUUCUGUGUUGUCCGUAUGAAAAUUGAUGGUAGUUUGAAUGAAAAAAUGCAUGGAAGUUGGCUAAACCUGUUAGUUUAUUUGCUUCUAACUUUGAUCAUGUUCCCAGCCUUAAUAGAUUUGGCCUUACAGACCAAUAUAGAUACAGUAUGCCAAAUGUAUUUUAAAUCUGGGAAAAUUACUACAGAGGAUAUUCCGGUUGUUGGCCAUUGAGCUUGGAUGACAUUCUAAUUUUUGAAUGAUUUUUUGUAUGCUCACAUGAGGCCAUGCAUCAUGUACUUGUAUAUGGGGCCAUUCAGUCAUGCAUUAAACCAUGCAAUAAGUUAUUGUUGCAUUGGUUGUUCUUAUGUCUCAUUGCCACUAAGAACUACAUGGAAAUAAGUUAUUUAUGUUGGUACCGAGAAUUCUUACAUUGACAAUAAGUUAUACUACAAGCUCUGCAGAACUUUGGUUUAACCUGCCCUAUCACGAUAAAACAAAGCGAUUAACCUACACGAUCACGAGUUCAUGACAUAAAGUUAAUUCCCUCUUUUGCGUUUUGUCAUGAUAACACAUAUCAUUUAUCCAGCUGCUUGUGGUCUCGUAGUUGUAGAGGACUAUCCUUCAUGAGGUUAUAUUAAACAUGUCAGAAUUAUACCCAUGAUAGCCUGACGAUGAGUUAACUGUUAUUCCAACAAAAGACUGCAAAUUCUUUCUCUGACAAUGUCACACCCACAUAUAUCUCUGAUGUUGGCCGUCUAGGGACCUAAAAUUUUGAGGUGGUCAUAUCAAUAGCCAAAAUGUGCCACCUUUCUGCAGCGUGCUGUUGUGUUUGCCAAUAGGUCUAUUGCCUUCUUGAUUUCAUUAUUCUGUACACAUAAUCUUUUGGGACAGUGCACCUUAAAAUUCUUAAAUUUUAUAUAUAUGUCUGAUGCAGUCGUUGUAAAGGUGCUUCUCUUACCUAUUAACUUGUUAACUACAGGGGUGAACAUAACUGUAUCAUCUGGCUUGAAAAUAAAUGCUUUGUUUGCAGAACACUCUGAACGAAAGAGCUAGAUGAUGUCUUCUAUAAGUGUGGACUUUCAAAGCAUGGAAAGAAGCAGGUUUGUUCACUGCUAUUUUGUAUAUCAACGUUUUACAAAAAUAAAUUCCAGGCGUUAAUUUACUUCACAUCCAUUGCUCAUAUGUGUCUAGGCUCCCUUUAUUGUGGGAAAGCACAUAAACGAUUGAAUGUUUGAUUGUUUGUGGUCUCCAUAUAAAUGACAUAAACAAUUUGAUCCUAAAACCAGAUUUAACUUCUUUUGAGGUCAAACAAAUAUCUGAAUGUAACAUGUUUGCUGUUGUGUUGGCCUUGUGUGGCCUGAGGCGAGAGUCUGAAUCCAAUAAUGUCUUUUUCUGGUGAAUAUUCAUACCUGGAGUAUCCAAUGGCGCCAUUCAGUGUGACGUUAGAUGCUUGCCCAAUAUUAUUUUGAUCAGAUGCAUUUUCCGUUUGAAUUACAGCCUGUAGCUCUUCGCUUCCUUCACAAACCAUACAUUUAAAUCUUGAAACAAAGGAUAUUGCGUCUGCAACAUUUUUGCGGCAUCCGAGGGGAUUUUGGUGAUGAUCUAGUGUUGGCGUUUCUGUAUUUUGGUGCUCAGAUGUGGAUGAUCGCCUGGUCGUGUUGGUAAGCUGUUGUAUGACCAGUAUUUGAGUAAUGCUAGAUGUUAUCUUGCCUCUCCUUUACCACCCAAACUAUUAAAGUACUACAUUGAUCUUGUUGCGACGACUGAUCCUUCCUGCUGUCCUGUGGUAAUGAGAAGUGAUGCAAUUACAUUCUGCGAUUGUAUAACAUAUUAUUUUGUUAAUUGCACAUGAAUAAUUUACGUUGUUUUCUUCAGAAUUAUACUGCUUAGUUUGUUAGUCGUUAAAGAUUUUCUUCUUUAUGGCAUACCGUUUUCUUUGUUUAUGGCUGUUUUACCCGUGUUACAUAAUGUCAUACCUAUUAUUUUUCUUGAUCUGGGCCUAAAAAUCAUCCUAGGAGGAACUGUUAUGCACACCAGCUUGCAGCAAGUAUGGCCUUAAAAUGGGUCACAAGGCGGCAACAUGAAUGUCAGAGGCAAUGGGUUAUCUGCUGGAGCUAUAAGAACUAAGAACCCGAUGUCAUAUUCUAGAGAAUGUGGACGAAGAAGAUGAUUAACAGAAAUAUGAUGAUUGUAGACGGAAGCAAUUAGUACUACUAUGCCAUGUGCAAUUAGUUAGAAUGUAAUGAGUCUUUUGUGAUGUGCUCCAUAACUCAUGUCCUGUACUUCGAAGCCGGAAUGUAAUGACUUUUUGUUCUUCUAA